UACGUAGGGGGCAAGCGUUGUCCGGAAUCAUUGGGCGUAAAGCGCGUGUAGGCGGCCUUGUAAGUCCGUUCUGAAAGCCCGGGGCUCAACCCCGGGAGGCGGAUGGAUACUGCAAGGCUCGAGUCCGGAAGAGGCGAGUGGAAUUCCCGGUGUAGCGGUGAAAUGCGCAGAUAUCGGGAAGAACACCCGUGGCGAAGGCGGCUCUCUGGGACGGUACUGACGCUGAGACGCGACAGCGUGGGGAGCAAACGGG
rnacentral:rRNA from 1 species